rnacentral:rRNA from 1 species
AACCGUGCAAAGGUAGCGUAAUCACUUGUCCCCCAAAUAGGGACUAGUAUGAAUGGUUAAAUGAGGGGCCACCUGUCUCUUGAGGCCAAUCAAUGAAACUGAUCUCACAGUACAAAAGCUGUGAUAUAAUCAUAAGACGAGAAGACCCUGUGGAGCUUCAAACAUCAUCCACUACCAAACCCCCACCAAACAGGAACAACCCACUACUUUAGGACAGUGGAAAGUUUUAAGUUGGGGCGACUAUGGGGUAAAAUAAAACCCCCACGACAUGGGACUGCCUCCCAUUUAAGGUCGACAGACCAAAGAUACCAAAACCAAGACCCAGAUAAUCUGAUCAUCGAACCAAGUUACCCCAGGGAUAACAGCGCCAUCCUUUUCUAGAGUCCAUAUCGACAAAAGGGUUUACGACCUCGAUGUUGGAUCAGGACACCCAGGUGGUGUAGCCGCUACCAAAGGUUCGUUUGUUCAACGAUUAAUGUCCUACGUGAU